UACGUAGGGAGCAAGCGUUGUCCGGAAUCAUUGGGCGUAAAGCGCGCGUAGGCGGCCCUGUAAGUCCGUUGUGAAAGUCAAAGGCUCAACCUUUGAAAGCCGGUGGAUACUGUGGGACUAGAGUACGGAAGAGGCGAGUGGAAUUCCUGGUGUAGCGGUGGAAUGCGCAGAUAUCAGGAGGAACACCAAUAGCGAAGGCAGCUCGCUGGGACGUUACUGACACUGAGGCGCGAAAGCGUGGGGAGCGAACAGGA
rnacentral:rRNA from 1 species